rnacentral:rRNA from 1 species
CUUGCUCUUAAGAAGUUAGCGGCGGACGGGUGAGUAACACGUAGGUAACCUGCCUAUAAGACUGGGAUAACUCCGGGAAACCGGGGCUAAUACCGGAUAACAUUUUGCACCGCAUGGUGCGAAAUUGAAAGGCGGCUUCGGCUGUCACUUAUAGAUGGACCUGCGGCGCAUUAGCUAGUUGGUGAGGUAACGGCUCACCAAGGCGACGAUGCGUAGCCGACCUGAGAGGGUGAUCGGCCACACUGGGACUGAGACACGGCCCAGACUCCUACGGGAGGCAGCAGUAGGGAAUCUUCCGCAAUGGACGAAAGUCUGACGGAGCAACGCCGCGUGAGCGAUGAAGGCCUUCGGGUCGUAAAGCUCUGUUGUUAGGGAAGAACAAGUGCUAGUUGAAUAAGCUGGCACCUUGGACGGUACCUAACCAGAAAGCCACGGCUAACUACGUGCCAGCAGCCGCGGUAAUACGUAGGUGGCAAGCGUUAUCCGGAAUUAUUGGGCGUAGAGCGCGCGCAGGUGGUUUCUUAAGUCUGAUGUGAAAGCCCACGGCUCAACCGUGGAGGGUCAUUGGAAACUGGGAGACUUGAGUGCAGAAGAGGAAAGUGGAAUUCCAUGUGUAGCGGUGAUAUGCGUAGAGAUA